rnacentral:rRNA from 1 species
AGUGAACGCUGGCGGUAGGCCUAACACAUGCAAGUCGAACGGCAGCACAGUAAGAGCUUGCUCUUACGGGUGGCGAGUGGCGGACGGGUGAGGAAUACAUCGGAAUCUACUUUUUCGUGGGGGAUAACGUAGGGAGACUUACGCUAAUACCGCAUACGACCUACGGGUGAAAGCAGGGGAUCUUCGGACCUUGCGCGAUUGAAUGAGCCGAUGUCGGAUUAGCUAGUUGGCGGGGUAAAGGCCCACCAAGGCGACGAUCCGUACCUGGUCUGAGAGGAUGAUCGGCAACACUGGAACUGAGACACGGUCAAGACUCCUACGGGAGGAAGCAGUGGGGAAUAUUGGACAAUGGGCGCAAGCCUGAUCCAGCCAUACCGCGUGGGUGAAGAAGGCCUUCGGGUUGUAAAGCCCUUUUGUUGGGAAAGAAAAGCAGCAGGUUAAUACCCCGCUGUUCUGACGGUACCCAAAGAAUAAGCAACGGCUAACUUCGUG